UCAAUCAGGGUUAAGUUGACAACUGCAAGACAAUGCGAACCAAGAAAAAACAGUUAACAUUUUCAAACUUGGGCUAAACAUGAAUAAAAGAUGUACAACAAAUUAUAACAUAUUACAUGGUUAAGGAAUUUCAUGGACAAUUAAUUGACUUGAAGUCUCCACUCUCCAGCAUGAAUUUGAAUAGCAUACUAAAAGAAUAAAAACGAUGAUUACGCACCAUUCGGAGAAUAG
rnacentral:misc_RNA from 1 species